GAGAUCGGGAUAACACCUGGAAACAGAUGCUGAUACCGGAUAACAACAGAUGAUGCCUAUCAACUGUUUAAAAGAUGGUUCUGCUAUCACUCUUGGAUGGACCUGCGGUGCAUUAGCUAGUUGGUAGGGUAACGGCCUACCAAGGCGAUGAUGCAUAGCCGAGUUGAGAGACUGAUCGGCCACAUUGGGACUGAGACACGGCCCAAACUCCUACGGGAGGCAGCAGCG
rnacentral:rRNA from 1 species